UUAAAAUACUGGUUUCCCUACAAUCACCGAAGUUAAGCAACUUUGAGCCUGGUCAGUAGCUGGCUGGGAGACCACUUGCGAAUACCAGACGCUGUAGG